UGAUAAUUCAAGAAGCUAAAGAUCUCACCUAGCUAUCCCUAGAAGAGCUUAUUGGUUCACUUAUGACACAUGAGUAGAGCAUAACACAAAAGAAAAGAGAAAAUAAGCCUAAAAGGAAGAUCGUUGCUCUCAAGUUAUCGGCCAUUGAAGAAAGUUCAAAUGAUUCUAUCGAGAAUUCGAAAGAUGAUGAAGAAAUAGUGG
rnacentral:lncRNA from 1 species